UACGGAGGGUGCAAGCGUUAUCCGGAUUCACUGGGUUUAAAGGGUGCGUAGGAGGGCAGGUAAGUCAGUGGUGAAAUCUUCGAGCUUAACUCGGAAACUGCCGUUGAUACUAUCUGUCUUGAAUACCGUGGAGAUGAGCGGAAUAUGUCAUGUAGCGGUGAAAUGCUUAGAUAUGACACAGAACACCGAUUGCGAAGGCAGCUAGCUAGACCGACAUUGACGCUGAGGCACGAAAGCGUGGGGAUCAAACAGG
rnacentral:rRNA from 1 species